rnacentral:rRNA from 1 species
UACGGGGGGGGCAAGCGUUGUUCGGAAUUACUGGGCGUAAAGGGCUCGUAGGUGGCCAACUAAGUCAGACGUGAAAUCCCUCGGCUUAUCCGGGGAACUGCGUCUGAUACUGGAUGGCUUGAGUUUGGGAGAGGGACGCGGAAUUCCAGGUGUAGCGGUGAAAUGCGUAGAUAUCUGGAGGAACACCGGUGGCGAAGGCGGCGUCCUGGACCAACACUGACACUGAGGAGCGAAAGCCAGGGGAGCAAACGGG